ACACUUAACAAUAUUUUAGGGCAAAUCAUUUCAGCCUCCCCCUAUCCCCUCCAUCUCUAUUCUCGUUCGCGACUCGGCCCUCCCUCUGUCUCUGCAACUGCAAAGUACAAAAUCUACAAGAAUCAGAACCCAUAUCGGCAUAUCAUUUCAGAUUGUUCAAAAAAUCAAAACCCAUAUCCUUCAGUUUCCGUCGCCUGCUGUUCCAGUUCGGGUUUGACGUUCUCAAGCUUCAGCCUCUGUCCCGCUGUCUCUCAACUCUCAAGCCCUCUCUCUGCAACUGCUAACUUGCUUUGAAAGAGUAAUUGGUAAAUUUGGGUUGAACUUGAGUCUUGAACAAUCUGAAGGUUAUACAGGUAAGUAAUUUCUUCAAUUAUUCAAUAUAAAUAUUUUCAGGGCAAAUCAUUUCAGCCUCCCCAAUCGCCUCCAACUCUAUUCUCGUUCUCGAUUCUGAACUUGACCUCUCUCUCUCUCUGCAACUGCAAACUACAAAAUCUACAAGAAUUAGAAGUUGAAAACCACCCAUAUAAUUCAGUUUAUCUAUCUCUUCAGCCGCUGGCCCUCUGUCUCUCAACUCUCAAGCCCCUCUCUCUGCAACUGCUAACUUGUAUGUAUGGGUUUAUUUAUUUAUUUAUUUAUUUGUUUAUUUUUUUCUAAAUCAAUCAAUCAGGGUCUGUAAUUCUUGUUUUGCAAACUAAAUCCUAUUUGGUGAAAUUUUUUUACGAUCUUUUUUUAUUAUUUUAUGUAUUUUAGUUUUAAAUGUUUGUGAAGAUAAUGACUGAAACAGGAUCUCCCUUUGCAAGCUUUGAAAGCGUAAUUGGUAAAUUUGGGUUGAACUUGAGUCUUGAACAAGCUGAAGGCCCUUAUACAGCUAAGUAAUUUCUUCAAUUAUUCAAUAUAAAUUUGGGUUGAACUGGUGUUUGCAAGGGCCAACUGUUUUGUUUAUGUUACUUUAUUUUGAGGUGGUUGCCAUAGUUUGCCUCUUGGAUGCUGUGAGUCGCUUUAUGCCCCACUCUAACUUUUGCACCAGUACAUGGAUAGCAUGUCGCGGUCAUGUAAAGGAUCCAAGUCUUAUCCUUGUAGCAUUGCAUAGGAAGUUAGCAAGUAGAGGCUUAUUGUGUUUUCAACUUUCUUUGCGUGUUUCUUCCAAAUGUAAUCGUGUUCUAAAAUUAUCCCCUUUGCCAAAAAAAAAAAAAAAAAACACAUUGAAUCAUUAGUUGGUUAAAUUAUUUAGAUGAGUACAAUACAUUGAAUCUUAAUUGAUUAAAUGAGUACAAUGUAUUGAAUCUUUAAAACUAUUGAGAAAUUAAAUGUUUUAAAAUAAAUAAAUAAUGCACCUAAAAUGUAUCCUUAAAUUAAUUAAUAUCUGCCUUAAUUAAAAUUUAUGUGGUCCUAAUGCUAUUGUUUUAUACAGGUUAUACUGUAAUAUGUCAUACCAAUUAACACAACCAAGUAGCUAGAUGCCAAAAUCUUAACGAACAUGGAGAUUUAAUGAAUGAAGAUAGGAACAAUAUGUUGUAUCCUGAUAGACAAUUUCCUGAUCGUGUAGAAAUUUAAACUGAUAAAGAGUUGUUUCACAAUAAAGCUUAAAACAAAUAUUAGAAUAUAAAGAUAGUUUUACUCACCCAUGAGGAUCUAGAUUUCACACUUUUGGCUUUUAAUUAUUGUGUUGUAGCUUGGGUUGACACAGCAAAGGAAGCCUCAAUGAUUGAUUGAAUGUCGUCUGGUACAAUUUAUAAUAAAGCAAAAAAAAUAAUAAAUCAGGGUAAAACUAUUAGAUUCCUUGCUGGGAAUAUCUCCACUCAAACAAUUAUAGAAUUGCAUAUAUAUUUGCAUAUUUUCUGUAUAGUGCACUUUACCCUAGUAAUAAUGUCAAAAUAGAAAGACCAUUAAUCAAAAUACUUACUUAAAACUCAUAUGUACCUUUCCAUGAAUGAUCCAAGAAACUGGUAGUGAGAUUCUGAGACCUUGCUAAGAGUUGUCUCUGUCAUUUUUGGGCCAUGUGAAUGACCUCCCAUGUACACAAUAUAUGACUAUUAAAGAGACCUCUUCUUAUGUGUUCGUUGCAGACAUGAAUCAUUCAUCAAUGUCUAAUAGUGACAGGUACAAAAGUUCAUUUAAAAUGUAAAUAUCCCAUUAAAUUUCAUCUUGGUGCCAAAGCUUUGCCCAGCAUUACUUCCUAACCGUCCCUUAAGAUAAUUAUAUUAAAUAAUAAAAAAUUGUGAAACAGAAGUAGGGAGUACCAUAACUGGACCAAUUAAUUCUACAUCUUGAACACUGAUUGCUACUUUAUCAAUAGGAGUUGGAAGUGGACGAUAGAAAUCCCUUUAGUUGUUACCUCAUUAUCUUUAUUUUUUGUAUGGUGAUUGUUUGAUUUGAAUUCUUGAUCUACAGUUGCAGCAUAUAUGUCAUUAUAGUUCCAAUCUUCAUCAUGUUCUUCAAAUUUAAGAUGAAACCUAGAAGUUCUAUGAUGACGUAUAGUGAAUGAGUUAGUGUGAUUCUUCAAAUUUUUAGAAUAAUCUUCCUUUAAUAAACUAUCAGAAUUUCUUAGAAGAUAAUAAGUCAUUAUCAUAUGAUCCAUUAUGAUAAUUGCAAUUUUCAUCAUGUUCUUCAAAUUUAAGAUAAACCUAAAAGUUCUAUUAUUACUUAUAGUGAAUGAGUAAGUGUGAUUCUUCAUAUUUUGAGAAUAAUCUUUGUUUAAAAAACUAUCAUAAUUACUUGGAAGAUAAUCAUGUAUGUUCUUGUUACUUGAUUUUUCACUAUCAUUAUGAUACUUGUUUAUGUUUGCUUCAAAAAUUGGGUAGUCCCUUUUGAACUCUAGAAUUUCUUUUGAGCUACAUCUAACUUCAGUAUCAAUAUUUUUUGAUGAUGAUCUCAUGUCAUUUUUCUCUAGAUUUCACACUUUUGGCUUUUGAUAAUUGUGUUGUAGCUUGGGUUGACACAACAAAGGAAGCCUCAAUGAUUGAUUGAAUGUCGUCUGGUACAAUUUAUAAUAAAGCAAAAAUAAUAAUAAAUCAGGGUAAAACUAUUAGAUUCCUUGCUGGGAAUAUCUCCAUUCAAACAAUUAUAGAAUUGCAUAUCAUUGGAAGAUUUGACAACAAUUAACUUUUUGUCUUUCAAUUUUUUAGUUUUAUCAAACACUGGAAGCUCUGAAUUGACCCUUGAAGGAAAAAAGGCACACAACUAAUAUGAUUUGAUAUCAAUGGAAGAAAGACGGAUACAUCAUAAUACCCCCAAUCUUAAUACAUACAUUUUACUUUAGGUCUUCCACAUUUAUAAGAGCCUAAAAACUCAAUAUAUAUAAUUUUGGCAACUUUACUACUUGUUUUACAUUCUCUUACUUUAACUAUUACAGUUUGUAGGUCAAAGCUAGGAUUGCGGGAUUGCGGUUCCCAUUAAUUUUUUUGUUGCCGAAUUAUUUUUUGUAUGGCUCAUGAUCAAGAAGUUGCAUAUAUAGAAGAGAGAGACUAAAACAGAGCAAGAAGAUAUAAAUAAUUUUUGUUUCAUUUUGGUUAAGUAAAGAUAUAAGCUUGUGGAUCAUGUACUUUUUUGAAAUUUGUAUAUAUUUUUGUAUAAAAUCAUGAUUUGGAAUUGGUUAUUUAUAUAUAUAUGAUGUUAUUAGCUAGUUGUAAGUUAUUUUGGUUAUAAUGCUAUUUUUUAUUUAUAGGGUUUGCUGCUUGGGUCCUUGCAAGGCUAGUAGUAGGGCCAAAAAAAAAAAAAAAAAAAAAAAAAGGCCUCAUAGGGGUUGUGCACAAUUUUUUUAAAAAAAUAAUAUCACACUUUCUACCAUGUUUUUGUACUGUGGUAGACCGCCUUCUACUUAUGACCACGGCAGUUUCUACCACGGUUCAAAAUUGUGAUAGAAAGCGUUUUCCACCAUGGUAAAAAGCUGUUUUUUUUGUAGUGAUAGUAAUAAAAAAUUAAAAAAGUUUAGGGGUGGCCCCCCGUCCAAACCAUUGCAGCUCUGCCCAUGGUUAGAGUGCUAUUGUGUUCGGUUUAUGUUUUUUUUGGGAGCCGCUCCCCUUUUGGGCACCUUUUAUGAAAUCUUUACUUAUAAAAAAAAUAUAUAAAUUUAGGAAUAUAUAUAUAUAUAUAUAUAUAUAUAUAUAUAUAUAUAUAAUUUGCUUCUGUGCAGCACGUGUUAAGCCACUGUAGUUUUACUUGGAAUUUAUUUGAGUGUGGAUUAUGUUUAUAAUCCCUCAAUUUUUUGGGAGUCAAGAAUGUCACUUCAUGUUUUUUUAUUUGUUCCCAGAUUUAAGGCAAGGGACAAUAGGAAGUUCAGUUGCACGAUGCUAAAGUCGUCUUUAGUUCAAUUUAUGUAUUUAUUUAUUUUGUCUGUCAAUUUUUUAUUUAUUUAUUUAUUUUUUUUACACUUGGUUUUUAUACUGUCUUUCCUUCUUGAUGGUUACAAUCCAGGUUCAAUUGCUUCACUGUUGUUUUACACAAAUAAGACACCUUAUGAACUUUGGUUUAAUAAAAAGCUAAUCUUAAUUUUCUAAGAACCUAUGGUAGUACAUAUUGUAUAUUAAGAGAGACAGAAAAUGCUUCUUGGGGUUUUCGUUGUGAUGUUGGUGGUCAGGUGGGUAUUAUGGAAGAUGAGUUUUGGGGUUUCUAGUGUGCUACUGGAAGAUGAGUUUGGGGUUGCAUGUCAAUGUUGAGCUUGCGGAACUGGCAUCAAGGCAUCGUUUUGACUUGGACCCACAUAAUUCUGGCUACUAUAUAUUUCUAUCAAAUAAAUGUCCAUUCCAAUGAUGGUAAAUGGGAAUAGAACUAGAAUAGAUAUAUUUUGUUUCCUUCUCACGCGAGCCCAUAUCCUUGCUUUUCUAUCUACCUCUAAUACUCCAGUGUACUUUGAUCCAUACAUCAUAAAUCCUUGAUCUAUCAACAAGACAUUAGAAAAUUGCGUCAUUUUAUUAGUAUGCGUUAGAUUUGACAAAUCUCCAUAGCCUAGAGGAUACAUUGUUAUGCCAAAAAUCAUUUAAGAUUUUGUUGAUUCAUGUACAAUAAUAACUCUUACAGUGUUGGAUAUAUAAGUACAAGCUCAAAAACCUAGAGUUAUUUUUGAACAUUCUUAUAGGUUUUGUGAUCAAUGAUGUGGAACAUUCUUCUACUGCCUGGGUAGCAUGGGAUUCUAUUUCCCGUGAUUAUAAUGAGGGGGGCAUGGCCUACAGAACAUCCUUGUACAAUGCUCAAGGCUGAGUAGAAGGAGCAACUUUGAAUAUAUUAUGAGCCCAAACGAUCGAUUUUUAUGAAUCUAUUUGAAUAUGGGUUAUGUUUAUAGUCCCUCAAGUUCAUGGAUGGCAGUCAAGAGCAUGGCUAGAUAUUUUUGGUUUGUCCCCUGCUUUGAGGUACAGUUUAGAUUCCUAACAAUUUGGGACAAUAGGAGGUUUAGUUGCAUGGCUCCAAAAAUUAUCCCCAUUUCUACUUUUGUUCAUAUUUUUCUACUCAAUUUUCUUUUACGCCUCCUAAAAUACUUCCAGUAGAAGACAUUCAAUUAUUUGUGGGGAAUUUUUAUGUGAAUAAGUUUGUUUUUUUGAAAAAAAAAAAAAAAAAAAAAAAAAAAUUUACUUUUU